rnacentral:misc_RNA from 1 species
UUAACUAUUAUAUAGUACUCAGACGACAUAAAAUUUAGAGUUGGGGUCCUCUGGCGGGCACUGACCAGCGAAAAUGCCGGUGGUCGUGAGACGGGCCCGCCAAAGCAACAAAGGUAUGUAAACAUAGGGUGGGAGAUAUACCCCGAAGGGCAAGUUCUCUUUAAUGAUCCUUCCGCAGGUUCACCUACGGAAA